rnacentral:rRNA from 1 species
UGCGUAGGUUGUUAUUCAAGUUAGUGGUGAAAGCCCAGAGCUCAACUCUGGAACUGCCAUUAAAACUGAAUAGCUAGAGAGUGUUAGAGGUGAGUGGAAUUUCUAGUGUAGGAGUGAAAUCCGUAGAUAUUAGAAGGAACAUCAAUGGCGAAGGCAGCUCACUGGGUCACAUCUGACACUGAGGCACGAAAGCGUGGGUAGCAAACA